UACGUAGGGGGCAAGCGUUGUCCGGAUUUAUUGGGCGUACAGAGCGUGUAGGCGGCCGUACAGGUCAGCUGUGAAAACUCGAGGCUCAACCUCGAGACGUCGGUUGAAACCGUACGGCUAGAGUCCGGAAGAGGAGAGUGGAAUUCCCGGUGUAGCGGUGAAAUGCGUAGAUAUCGGAAGGAACACCAGUGGCGAAAGCGGCUCCCUGGUCCAGCACCGACGUUCAGGCACGAAAGCGUGGGGAGCAAACAGG
rnacentral:rRNA from 1 species